rnacentral:rRNA from 1 species
AGUGAACGCUGGCGGUAGGCCUAACACAUGCAAGUCGAACGGCAGCACAGUAAGAGCUUGCUCUUACGGGUGGCGAGUGGCGGACGGGUGAGGAAUACAUCGGAAUCUACUUUUUCGUGGGGGUUCACGUAGCGAAACUUACGCUAAUACCGCAUACGACCUACGGGUGAAAGCAGGGGAUCUUCGGACCUUGCGCGAUUGAAUGAGCCGAUGUCGGAUUAGCUAGUUGGCGGGGUAAAGGCCCACCAAGGCGACGAUCCGUAGCUGGUCUGAGAGAAUGGUCAGCCACACUGGAAGGUGGACAGGGUCCAGAGGCCUACGAGAGGCAGCAGAGGGGAAUAUUGGACAAUGGGCGCAAGCCUGAUCCAGCCAUACCGCGUGGGUGAAGGAGGCCUUCGGGUUGUAAAGCCCUUUUGUUGGUAAAGAAAAGCAGCAGGUUAAUACGCCGCUGUUCUGACGGUACCCAAAGAAUAAGCACCGGCUAACUUCGUG